GUUUGCAGUGUGGAUGACCCUCCAUCGUGCUUCCCUUCAGGGGGCCUGUUGCUGGACAGAUGGAUGUGGAAGGCACAUCAGACCUGGUAAAGCCCUUCCACUGUGAGAUUCUAGUCCUCUGCACAAAUGAAGAACGUCUGAUUGCAAUCACCCUGCAACGGUCUAUUUAUUCCUGGACGUCUUCUUCCCUGACUCCAUUUCCAGGCUAGUGAACUCUUGCUUGUGGGUAAAAUAUACCCUCUUGAAAAUGUUAUAUAUAUAUAUA
rnacentral:lncRNA from 1 species